rnacentral:rRNA from 1 species
UACGUAGGGGGCAAGCGUUAUCCGGAAUUACUGGGUGUAAAGGGUGCGUAGGUGGUAUGGCAAGUCAGAAGUGAAAACCCAGGGCUUAACUCUGGGACUGCUUUUGAAACUGUCAGACUGGAGUGCAGGAGAAGUAAGCGGAAUUCCUAGUGUAGCGGUGAAAUGCGUAGAUAUUAGGAGGAACAUCAGUGGCGAAGGCGGCUUACUGGACUGAAACUGACACUGAGGCACGAAAGCGUGGGGAGCAAACAGG